rfam:Ixodes scapularis strain Wikel colony gcontig_1107728633928, whole genome shotgun sequence.
CCCUGGUUCGCUCAGUUGGUAGAGCGCUCCACCUGUAAUGGAGAGGUCCCGGGUUCGAUACCCGGACCAGGCG